rnacentral:rRNA from 1 species
UACGUAGGGAGCUAGCGUUGUCCGGAAUCAUUGGGCGUAAAGAGCGUGUAGGCGGCCCGGUAAGUCCGCUGUGAAAGUCGGGGGCUCAACCCUCGAAUGCCGGUGGAUACUGUCGGGCUAGAGUGCGGAAGAGGCGAGUGGAAUUCCUGGUGUAGCGGUGAAAUGCGCAGAGUAUCAGGAGGAACACCAAUUGCGAAGGCAGCUCGCUGGGACGUAACUGACGCUGAGACGCGAAAGCGUGGGGGGGAGCAAACAGG